CCCGCCCAAAUUUCGUUUGGGCGGACUUUCACCUUAGUGCUGGCGGCACUUAAGUGUACUUACAUGGCGGAAAUCCGCCAUGUAAGUUUUGGGGUUUAUUAAAAACCCCAAAUCCAGACAGAACGCGUCUGUCUGUUUUUUAGUGUUGCCGGCUGCCAUCUCCCGACUCCCACUCCCGCGCUGUCUGAUUUCGCCGCCGACUCCCGACUCCUCCUCCGAUCGCGAUCGUCGUGUGUUCGCCCGCUGGUUUCGCCGUCUCCAUCAUCGCCGAUUGACUGUGUAGGUAUUUCAUUUGUGG
rnacentral:lncRNA from 1 species